CCACUAAAGAAGAGGGAUGUUUCAAUCAUCUCAAACUCGAGGGCCCUCUCCAGGUGUCGACAUGCAGGUGAUGGGUACUCUGACAGCCAGGCCUGACAGAGGCCAGCGCUCUGCUCCCGGCUGGUCCAGAACCUGGGAAACGUGGACGAGAUCUGCACUGUGGUGAAGAGUGGGCCUGACGAGGUUCCGAGUGCUGCCCAACGUCUCCAGAGACCAACAUUUGCAAGUAGCCUCGGGCCUUCCAGAAAGGCUUGUUUCUAUCUGGACCAUGCACACACCAAGCCCCUGUUCCAACCCGUGCUGGCUCCAGGGGCCGGAGGACGGCCUCUCCUGCAGGGCUGGGUCCUUCUCA
rnacentral:lncRNA from 1 species